AUUCAUAAACUAAAAACGUAUUGAUUAUUUGAAGGUUUUUAUGAGAUUAGGGAUUUUCGGGAAUCCCCUUUUAUUAUUUGAGGAGGGGAUAGAGAUCCCUUUAAGCAAUUCUGACAGGAACUGAGACACAUGCAGGAUAUCAGGAUAGGUAUGGGAAGUCAGUCCCCUCCUCUACCCUCCUCAUUGCCAUCGUUACCAGACGAGUAGUUGACAGCAUGAUCUACUCAUGAUAAUCUCGAUGCAUGAGAAUUCUUAAUGAUUUGUGUUUGAAUUUUAUACUUAAAAGUGUAUUUGUAUUUUAAUACAAAUUUGAUAACUUAAUCCGUAUUUGGUUAUUUGUUUAGGGGCGGAUCCAGCAUGUGACCAAUGGAGGCUCAAGCCCCCAUUGGCCAAAAAAACAAUUGUAAA
rnacentral:lncRNA from 1 species